rnacentral:rRNA from 1 species
GAUGAACGCUGGCGGCGUGCCUAAUACAUGCCAGUCGAGCGAACGGACGAGAAGCUUGCUUCUCUGAUGUUAGCGGCGGACGGGUGAGUAACACGUGGAUAACCUACCUAUAAGACUGGGAUAACUUCGGGAAACCGGAGCUAAUACCGGAUAAUAUUUUGAACCGCAUGGUUCAAAAGUGAAAGACGGCCUUGCUGUCACUUAUAGAUGGAUCCGCGCUGCAUUAGCUAGUUGGUAAGGUAACGGCUUACCAAGGCAACGAUGCAUAGCCGACCUGAGAGGGUGAUCGGCCACACUGGAACUGAGACACGGCCCACACUCCGACGGGAGGCAGCAGUAGGGAAUCUUCCGCAAUGGGCGAAAGCCUGACGGAGCAACGCCGCGUGAGUGAUGAAGGUCUUCGGAUCGUAAAACUCUGUUAUUAGGGAAGAACAUAUGUGUAAGUAACUGUGCACAUCUUGACGGUACCUAAUCAGAAAGCCACGGCUAACUACGUG